ensembl:lncRNA
AAAUCAUCCAUGGGAUAAAAGAUGGUGUAGCUACUGUGAUGCUACCUGUUGGUUUCUGAACUGCCUCGCUAGGCUUCAGCCUUGAGGUGAAUGUUUCUGCCAUUGCCGUCUUGGCGGCAAGAAACUGAAUGUGAGAAGAAGGGGUUAGCGAGGGGAAAAUACCAGGGUUAAUCCUCAGUUUUGAAACAUGGUAUGAUGAAACAGGAUUUUGUUUUUUCCAAAAUAGCUCUUAACUCAGGAUGACCCAAACUAAGUGACUCAGACAAUGAACUCAGCAGGAAAUUGUUUACAGAGGCUAAGUUAGAAAACGUUUUUGGAACAACAGCUAUCACCAUCUAGUGGCCUAGAUAGGAUUAAGGUACAUCUGCACUGGCUUUAUUUUUCUGACCCGCAAGCUAUGUCAACUUUCUUUUGCUAUUUGUGCACAUACUUGAUAACUACUUUCCAAGUCAACUACUUGACAAGUAGUUAUCAAACCUUAAAAAAGGGUGAUACAAUCCACAAAUGGAAAAUAUUUAGCUUCACAGUAAAGGCUAUGUCAGUACUGCAGCCAUCACAUUUGAAAAGGCAGUUUUUACUAUGAAGGCAAAUGUUCUCUACUUUGGUGGUUUGCGUCACCCCUUUUCAGUUUUCCUUACUGCUAAACUAGUAGUUAGUGAGUGUUUGCUGAGAAGUCGUCCAAACAAACUAUGGGCGAACAUGCUAAUCUGCUAGCAAUCAAUGCAAUUACAAGGAGGCGUUUUGUGCUGCACCAUAUACUUCUUUGCGAUCAAUUUCACCUUAGGCGUGCCAGCAACCAUUUGCCAGCUGGUGGAGGGUGGUUACCAGGGGGUCAGUAACCAGUCUCUUGGGGUCUGGGGCCUUAAGCUUUAUUUAGAUUUUUGCAUUCAUUCUAUAGAAAGUCUGUGAUCUAGCCUACGCAUUUAUAACUGUGUGUAGUGAGCCUUUGUUGCUCUGCAGUACCACUGCCAAAACAUUAUUUGGAAGUAGAGUUUCUCUCCUCAAGUUGAUCCAUUUUAUUUCAGUCAAUUUAAAAAAUUACGACAGAAGAGAAAGUAGCUGGAAGCACAGAGGAGGAAUCGGUGAUACUGCUCUUAAGUGUCAGUGCAGGUGGUGCUGAUCCGAAACAUAGUUGUAUUUAUAAGGAAGUACACAUCAGAUUAUGGCGUAAGCUGCGGUGUGGGGUUUCAAAAAGUUUAUAAGAACAUAUAAGUAGAACUAAUCUAAGUUAAGCUAGGCUAAGCUAACUAGCUGCUAACUGUUUCUACACAGUGAACACAUAUACUUGAGCGGAGUUCGACUCCUCUGCUAGAAUCCUCCACUCCUGGUCACAGAAUAUGCGUUGCAUAUCCAAAGACAGACAUAUUAUUCAGUUAAUCUGUUUUUAAUAAUAAAUGCCUCCAACAGGGAUUUGGUGCACAGCUACAAAAAGUUGAAGGGCAGCUGAGCCUGAGCCAAGCUGUAAAAAUGCUAAUGCUUAAAAUGCAACCUAAAAGUGCCAUAAUUCAUCACAUUGUAGUGUAAAUUCCCACAUCUUUUAAACAUCAUGCCCAGACUUUCUUUGAAUCUUCAACCGAGAUAACCCUGAUUAUAUCACUUUAGUUGUUUCCUCACACUUUUAAAGCCUUUCGGUCUUUUUGCUAGCUCAGUAGUACUUUUUUUUAUUUUAAAAAACAAAGCAAAACAAAAACCCCUGUCCUUUCACUUCCUAGCAAGUUGGUGCUAAAACAUUUUAAAAACAAGUUGUUUAUAAUCUUUCAACAAGUGUGCUGUGCUCAGGUUUUUUAUUUAUAGUGUCAAGUAUAGAUAUGAAGUAGCACAACAGUUUGUGCCUUUGGAGCUUUUUUUUCUGUAAAGUUGAAAAAGCAAAGCAAAAAUAAAAUGUACUAUUUUGUGUAUUUCAAUCAGCUGCUGGUGUUUUCAUUUCUACCCGUGUUUACGCGUGAAUACACCAAACACACAAAGGCGUUGUGCUGACGGUGCGCUCUUGGUGUGCCUCUCGGAGUGAGUCAGACAGCAGAUACAGGUUGCGCCCAUCUAUAUAUUUUACACACACAAACAUGCAGGGUGCGUGUAAAGGAGGCUGUGGGAGGUGACAGCGCAGCAGACACUCUGGAGUCUCUGGAUGCUAAUAACACACCGCUGACACUGAGAGAGACGGGUGUACGCCGCUUUCAUGCGGCACACACUUGAAAAGGGGAGGAGAAAUGUUUGUGUAGCAGUGUUAGUGUGUGUGUGUGUCUGUUACAAACAAGCUACAGUUAACCAACCAAACCCAUGGCUUCGCCAACAAAAAGAGGGUGUGACAAGGAAGAAGAACAUAGACUUGCAUGCUUUCAAACAAUGUUACUAGGUAGAGUGAAAAUAUUACAUUGUGUCCUUGUCUGAAACCAUGACAUUAAAAGGAAUGCUCUGCAUUGUUAGAUGAGAUAAUUGCAUGUACCACAAAUCUUGGCAUACGUUGACUUAAAGUAAGUUAUGCAGAGCAAUUUAACCUCCCACGAAAUAAAGCAAUCUUCC